AUGCCGUUCUCGUGGUUUCUGCAGGUGAUGUCCCUCCUGGCAAAAGCGAACAACGCAAGCCCAUCACACAUUAAAGCAGUCCUGUCUGGCCCUGUGCAUCUUUUCCUUCCACCAGGCCCAGCUCUGAGAGGACAGUGCCAGGUCCACCUCCCAGCCCAGCCAGCGUCCUCCUGGAGCCACUCGCGGAGCCCGACUGGCCGCGCACCUGGCAGCGUUGAAAAGCUUCUGGUCCCUCCGAGGCCUCGCCUGACUUUGUAAGGGGAGGGGUCUCGAGUUCUUUCAGCGUCAGGCCCCACCUCCGGGUGGGGGCACCUGCCAGCGUCUGUGUCCCCUGAGUCACGGCCUGGCCGGUCCUUCACACCCACAGGCAGCUCUGCUGUUGCUGUGGCGAUUGCCUUGGGAGAACACAGGCACCCAACCCCGAGGCCCCUGGGGCGCCCACCAUGGGCUGGGGCAGGGGUCUGCUGUGGAGCGACAGCCACCAGCCCGACUCCCGCCAGCUUCCUGGAGGAAUGGGACCACGUUGCUAAGUAGGCCACAUCUCCGAGCUUCAGUUCAUCCACCCGGGAUGGGAGACGGUACUGAUGCAACCACCUCCGUGGAUCCUCUCAGCCCUGGAGUCUGAGACCCGCCCCUUGAGAGCCAAAGGGUUCGACUGUCUGAUGAUUUGGCCGAGAGUGGUCAUGGCGGGAGCUGGCGUCCUGGGAGAAAAAUCCUGGAGUGGUGGGAUGGAAAGAGGGUUCUUGGCCUUCCGUCUGACCAAGAAUGUGGGCUGGAGGCUAAGACGACUUCUAAACUAGAUCCUGUCCUUGGAGAAGCUCAGGGACCCCAGGGGUCCGGCCGGCCGGGUCUGCUAGUCUGGGGCAGCGGCCCUCCCCGCGGUGCGGCUCCCGCGGCUCACCUGGUCUGUGCCCACAGCCGGUCCACGGGGAGCCUCAUGGAGCCAGACUGCAAGGAAAGACGGGCCUUGCUCGGGACACUUUGCCCAAGUGCCCCGUGCUGGUUUUCGUGCUGGUCACGGACGCUCUAUCUGGAGUAGCCCAGGUGUGGCAGAGAGGCACCCGCACGCUACACCAGCCAGGGCGUUUUCUGGGCUUUAGGGAUUUCUCUGCUGUUCAUAUUCUGCUUUGCAAUUUGGAGGUACCAUGAUCUUUCACGAGGUUCAGUCACGAGACACCAAUAAAAACCCACAUCCCUGGAAUGCCA
rnacentral:lncRNA from 12 species